rnacentral:tRNA from 1 species
AGUUCUGUGGUGUAGUGGUUUGAGUGCUGGACUACGAUUCUGGAGACCAGGGUUCGAUUCCCGCUUUGGCUA